GAUAAACGCUGGCGGCGUGCCUAAUGCAUGCAAGUCGCACGGAUCACUUCUUCGGGGGUGGUGAGUGGCGAACGGGUGAGGAACGCGUGGACAACCUACCCCGGCGUGGGGAAUACCCGCCAGAAAUGGCGGCUAAUACCGCGUACGGUCCCAUGGCGGCGGGCUGUGGGAAGAAAGCAGCGAUGCGCGCUGGGAGGGGUCUGCGCCCGAUUAGCUUGUUGGCGGGGUAACGGCCCACCAAGGCGAUGAUCGGUCGCUGGUCUGAGAGGAUGAUCAG
rnacentral:rRNA from 1 species